UCUUCCGUAAGUAUAGUGGUCAGUAUGCAAGCUUGUCACGCUUGAGACCCGGGUUCAAUUCCCGGCGGGAGAG